rnacentral:rRNA from 1 species
ACGAACGCUGGCGGCGUGCCUAACACAUGCAAGUCGAGCGGAGACAGUGAGUAGCUUGCUAUGAGCUGUUUUAGCGGCGGACGGGUGAGUAACGCGUGAGCAACCUUUCCCAGACAGGGGAAUAACACACCGAAAGGUGUACUAAUACCGCAUAAGACCACGGAAUCACAUGGUUCUGAGGUAAAAGAUUUAUCGGUUUGGGGUGGGCUCGCGUCCGAUUAGGUAGUUGGUGAGGUAACGGCCCACCAAGCCGACGAUCGGUAGCCGACCUGAGAGGGUGAUCGGCCACAUUGGGACUGAGACACGGCCCAAACUCCUACGGGAGGCAGCAGUGGGGAAUAUUGGGCAAUGGGGGGAACCCUGACCCAGCAACGCCGCGUGGAGGAAGAAGGUUUUCGGAUCGUAAACUCCUGUCCUUGGAGACGAGUAGAAGACGGUAUCCAAGGAGGAAGCCCCGGCUAACUACGUGCCAGCAGCCGCGGUAAUACGUAGGGGGCAAGCGUUGUCCGGAAUAAUUGGGCGUAAAGGGCGCGUAGGCGGCUCGGUAAGUCUGGAGUGAAAGUCCUGCUUUUAAGGUGGGAAUUGCUUUGGAUACUGUCGGGCUUGAGUGCAGGAGAGGGGAGGGGAAUUCCCAGUGUAGCGGUGAAAUGCGUAGAGAUUGGGAGGAACACCAGUGGCGAAGGCGACUAACUGGACUGUAACUGACGCUGAGGCGCGAAAGUGUGGGGAGCAAACAGGAUUAGAUACCCUGGUAGUCCACACUGUAAACGAUGAAUGCUAAGUGUAGGGGGUAUCGACCCCUUCUGUGCCGCAGUCAACACAAUAAGCAUUCCGCCUGGGGAGUACGGCCGCAAGGUUGAAACUCAAAGGAAUUGACGGGGGCCCGCACAAGCAGCGGAGCAUGUGGUUUAAUUCGACGCAACGCGAAGAACCUUACCAGGUCUUGACAUCCCGAUGACCGGCCCGUAACGGGGCCUUCUCUUCGGAGCAUUGGAGACAGGUGGUGCAUGGUUGUCGUCAGCUCGUGUCGUGAGAUGUUGGGUUAAGUCCCGCAACGAGCGCAACCCCUAUCCCCAGUAGCCAGCAGUCCGGCUGGGCACUCUGAGGAGACUGCCAGGGAUAACCUGGAGGAAGGCGGGGAUGACGUCAAAUCAUCAUGCCCCUUAUGAUUUGGGCUACACACGUGCUACAAUGGCCACGACAGAGAGAAGCGAAAUCGCAAGGUAGAGCGGAACUCAAAAAAGUGGUCCCAGUUCGGAUUGUGGGCUGCAACCCGCCCACAUGAAGUCGGAGUUGCUAGUAAUCGCAGAUCAGCAUGCUGCGGUGAAUACGUUCCCGGGCCUUGUACACACCGCCCGUCACACCAUGGGAGUGGGUUGCAAAAGAAGUAGGUAGCUUAACCUUCGGGAGGGCGCUUACCACUUUGUGAUUCAUGACUGGGGUG